GAUCCAACUCCUCCUCUACCAGCUGGAUGCGCCUGUUCAAUGAGGCUACAUCUCCUUCAGCCUAUGGGAAUACAAUUGGUCACAACAGGUUCCAAGACAGGGAAACUCUGAAAACAGAGGGCAAAUGUACUUCUCCAGUCUGAGCCACACUCAACCUGAACCUGCAAUGGCUGGCCAAUAAUGUGGCACAGAGAUGCAAGUAUAGAGAUAGCCAAUCAACUGUGUGAAUCUAAAAUCCCACCAGUUCUAGAACCCACUUCAGGGUGUUAUGAUAUCCUAAUGGCCUUAACAUGAAAUAAAUUAUGUAUUUCACUGAGACAUUAGAGACAUUAUAUAUGACCUAUUUCAAGAACUGGUCUUUUGGGUUGCAUCUGCCUGACCAUUGGUGCUCAUAUGUGUACUUCAAGAGGCAGAAAAACUGUUCCUGUGAUAAUCACAUCAUGGGAGGGCAAAAACCUUGGCUGGGGUGUCUGCCUGAAUACCAGUUAGGGUGAGAUAUUGGGUGAAUGCCUAUUUGCUCUACUAGACAUUUGUAGAUGCCCAGUUUAAAGGUCAAUUAGAUUAAAAUUAUGGAUGAACACAUAUGCUGUUCUAGAUAUUAUUAGAACUACAGCUGAUGCAGCAAUAUUUUCAUAGGUCUGUAACUGUGAUAUGAGCUAUAAUGAUGUCUUUGCCAAAUUUUGGAACUGAACAUCUUUAAAACUGGCCAUCAACAAGUAUGGCCAAAUUAGACAAAAUCUGACAAUUUUACUAGUGUACUUGGAAGUAAGCCAGCCAUACAUGCCCCGAUAAUAUCGUACAAAACCUUGUUUUGUACGAUAUUUGGUGCACAUGUGGCAGCUCGGCGA